UUAUGAGUCCUAUUUAAUCGA
ensembl:piRNA 21ur-6921 ncRNA